CGCAAUGGGCGAAAGCCUGACGCAGCAACGCCGUGUGAGGGAUGAAGGCUUUCGGGUCGUAAACCUCUGUCAGAAGGGAAGAACGGGCAUUGGUCUAAUAGGCCUUUGUUUUGACGGUACCUUCAGAGGAAGCACCGGCUAACUCCGUGCCAGCAGCCGCGGUAAUACGGAGGGUGCAAGCGUUAUUCGGAAUUACUGGGCGUAAAGCGCGCGUAGGCGGCUUCGUAAGUCAGGGGUGAAAUCCCACGGCUCAACCGUGGAACUGCCUUUGAAACUGCGUGGCUUGAAUCCUGGAGAGGGUGGCGGAAUUCCUGGUGUAGGAGUGAAAUCCGUAGAUAUCAGGAGGAACACCGGUGGCGAAGGCGGCCACCUGGACAGGUAUUGACGCUGAGGUGCGAAAGUGUGGGGAGCAAACAGGAUUAGAUACCCUGGUAGUCCACACCGUAAACGAAUGGCAUAACUAGGUGUCGGGGCACUUGGAUGCUUCGUGUGCCGUAGCUCAACGGUCGUUAAGUAUCCCGUCCUGGGGAGUACG
rnacentral:rRNA from 1 species